rnacentral:sRNA from 1 species
AUUUUCAGGUUCUCUUCCCUCCAUUCCUACCCCUUCCCCGGUACCAUAAAAUCCUGGGAUAUGAGCCGGAAGAGGCAUCAUCUGAUCCCGGAGACCCUUGGAGUUAAGAGGCGGCGGAAGCGAGGGCCUGUGGAGUCGGAUCCUCUUCGGGGUGAGCCAGGGUCGGCGCGCGCGGCUGUCUCAGAACUCAUGCAGCUGUUCCCGCGAGGCCUGUUUGAGGACGCGCUGCCGCCCAUCGUGCUGAGGAGCCAAGUGUACAGCCUCGUGCCUGACAGGACCGUGGCCGACCGGCAGCUGGUGAGGGGCGUCGGUGCGACCGCCGGAAGCCCCUUUCCUAACUCCUGGAAUUUACUGUCACACAGUCACUCCGCCAGCCGUUCAGCAAGCAUUAGGCCUUUCAGGCGAGGGCACUGUGCCAGGCACUGGGGUGCCACAGAGACCCUGUUAAAAGGCCCGCAGAAGGAGCUUCAAGAGCAGGGGGAGAUCAGAAUCGUCCAGCUGGGCUUCGACUUGGAUGCCCAUGGAAUUAUCUUCACUGAGGACUACAAGACCAGAGUCCUCAAAGCCUGUGAUGGCCGACCGUAUGCUGGGGCAGUGCAGAAAUUUCUAGCUUCAGUACUUCCAGCCUGUGGGGACCUUAGUUUCCAGCAGGACCAAAUGACACAGACCUUUGGCUUCAGGGACUCAGAAAUCACGUGAGACUUGUGGAACCAACAAAGUCAGGCAUCUGGUGCUUCCCUGCCUCCCUCCAGUUCCAU